rnacentral:rRNA from 1 species
GAUGAACGCUAGCUACAGGCUUAACACAUGCGAGUCGCGGGGCAGCAUGGGGGUUGCUUGCACUCCCCGAUGGCGACCGGCGCACGGGUGAGUAACGCGUAUCCAACCUGCCCUUCACCACGGGAUAACCCGGCGAAAGUCGGACUAAUACCGUAUGUUGUCCAUUGACGGCAUCCGAUUUGGACGAAAGGUUUGGCGGGGAAGGAUGGGGAUGCGUCCGAUUAGCUGGACGGCGGGGUGACGGCCCACCGUGGCGACGAUCGGUAGGGGUUCUGAGAGGAAGGUCCCCCACACUGGAACUGAGACACGGUCCAGACUCCUACGGGAGGCAGCAGUGAGGAAUAUUGGUCAAUGGGCGUAAGCCUGAACCAGCCAAGUAGCGUGCAGGAGGACGGCCCUAUGGGUGGUAAACUGCUUUUAUGCGGGGAUAAAGUGGCCCACGUGUGGGUUUUUGCAGGUACCGCAUGAAUAAGGACCGGCUAAUUCCGUG